GACGAACGCUGGCGGCGUGCUUAACACAUGCAAGUCGAACGGAAAGGCCUCUUUCGGGGGGUACUCGAGUGGCGAACGGGUGAGUAACACGUGAGUAACCUGCCCUUGACUUUGGGAUAACUUCAGGAAACUGGGGCUAAUACCGGAUAGGAGCUCCUGCUGCAUGGUGGGGGUUGGAAAGUUUCGGCGGUUGGGGAUGGACUCGCGGCUUAUCAGCUUGUUGGUGGGGUAGUGGCUUACCAAGGCUUUGACGGGUAGCCGGCCUGAGAGGGUGACCGGCCACAUUGGGACUGAGAUACGGCCAAGACUCCUACGGGAGGCAGCAGUGGGGAAUAUUGCACAAUGGGUGGAAGCCUGAUGCAGCAAAGCCGUGUGCGGGAUGACGGCCUUCGGGUUGUAAACCGCUUUCGCUCAUGACGAAGCUUUGUGUGACGGUAGUGGGUAAAGAAGCACCGGCUAACUACGUG
rnacentral:rRNA from 1 species